UACGUAGGGUGCGAGCGUUGUCCGGAUUUAUUGGGCGUAAAGAGCUCGUAGGCAGCUUGUCGCGUCGUCCGUGAAAACCUGGGGCUCAACUCCGGAUCUGCGGUGGGUACGGGCAGACUAGAGUGAUGUAGGGGAGACUGGAAUUCCUGGUGUAGCGGUGAAAUGCGCAGAUAUCAGGAGGAACACCGAUGGCGAAGGCAGGUCUCUGGGCAUUAACUGACGCUGAGGAGCGAAAGCAUGGGGAGCGAACAGG
rnacentral:rRNA from 1 species